GCUGAAACUAUACAAAAGGACAUAGAAUAAGUAAUUAAUAAAUAGAGCUGUUAUAGUACACAUCUUACAUUCAUUUUAGGAGGUAUCAUUUAUGUGAGUAGCUAUGGUGUCUCGCAGUCAUACACUAAAAAACCCUAUGUUUAAGGUCUCAAUGAGAAACGAUCAGGAAAUAAAAAUUAUUUUAUUUGUAGGUCUGUGACCAUGUAUAAAUUGAGGAGUAAAUACAUUUUAAUUUACCCUCAAACAACAGGUACAUCACAGAAAAAAGGGACACAUUUUGUUUCAACUACCUGUAAAGCUCAAGGCCAGUUGGAUACUGUUACAACUGAAUUUACAAGUCCCAAAGAAAAAAACCUUAAAGGAACACUAUAGUGUUAGUAAUUCAUGUAUUCCUGACAUCAGAGAUGAAAAAGUUAAAACUUACCUUUUCUCCCACGUUGCACCAGUCUCGCCGUGGCUGACUCCAUCUCCAUGGCUGAGAUAAUUAGUCUUGAUGAUCUUAGACACCAACCAGCAUCUCCUCAUUGUGAUUAGCAAGCACCACUAGUGGCUACCACUAAAGUUGUUACUAGACACUAAUGUAAACACUGUCUUUUCCCUGGAUGGCAGUAUUCACAGUGCUAGGACUACAGGGACAUGCAUUAAGCUGUAGUAGUUCUGGUGACUAUAAUGUCCCUAUAUUUCCAUUUAUCAAAUGCAUAAAGCGGAAUCAUAUAAUUAUUCUCCAUUAUAUUAAUUGAGGGGCCCAUUUCCCUGGUGCCAAGUAACAUCACCUGUGUGGUGAUGUUACUUGGCACCAGGGAAAUGGGCCCUUCAAUUAAUAUAAUGUUAGGUGACAUCACACAAUGGAAGUGCCAGUGGUGGGGGAGGUUGUCUUUCAUUGCUAAUAUCACUGCCCCCACAUCACUUAGAGGUAACGUUCACUGUUUCAAAAACCAUUUGUCCCACUAAGUUAAAGGUGACAAGCACAAAAUCAGAGAGCACUUGUGUAAUGGUAUUUAUUAAUUAAUGACUUUUUGUCAUAAAAAAGCAUAAUGAGCUUAAUGCUUUAGACGCACCACUAGAUGUCAGUAAAGUAUAAUGAGCUUAAUGCUUUAGAGGCACCACUAGGGGUCAGUGUGCUAACUCAUGUGCUUCUGGCAGUGACAUCACAGGCCAGCCUACUUACUGGAUAAAACCAAAUAGUAGAAGGAUUUUCAGCCUCCUUUUUCCUUUGCUUGCAUUGAUUGAACAUGUAGCUGUGUGUAUAGCUCCAGCCAAACAGGCUGGAGCCGUGUAAGUAAUCUAUUAUAACAGCUAGCAACUGUUAUAGCCUUUUAUAAGUAAUGUUGUAGUUUUGUAUUGUGUAAUUAUUGUGGUAAAUUGACAUUCUGCUAGCAUUUGUUUAAUUAUUAUAAUUAUAUUAAAUAUACAUUUAAUACUACAAUGUUUUGU